AUUGAACGCUGGCGGCAUGCCUAACACAUGCAAGUCGAACGGGGCAGCAAUGCCUAGUGGCGGACGGGUGAGGAAUGCGUAGGAAUCUGCCCUUAAGUGGGGGAUAACCAGGGGAAACCCUGACUAAUACCGCAUGAUCUCUUCGGAGCAAAGAGGGGGACCGCAAGGCCUCUCGCUUCUGGAUGAGCCUACGUCUGAUUAGCUAGUUGGUAGGGUAAAGGCCUACCAAGGCGACGAUCAAUAACUGGUCUGAGAGGAUGAUCAGUCACACCGGAACUGAGACACGGUCCGGACUCCUACGGGAGGCAGCAGUGGGGAAUAUUGGACAAUGGGCGCAAGCCUGAUCCAGCAAUGCCGCGUGUGUGAAGAAGGCCUUCGGGUUGUAAAGCACUUUAGCCUGGAAAGAAAAAACUUUGGUUAACACCCAAAGUCUUGACGGUACCAGGAGAAUAAGCACCGGCUAACUCUGUGCCAGCAGCCGCAGUAACAC
rnacentral:rRNA from 1 species